GAACGCUGGCGGCGUGCCUAACACAUGCAAGUCGAACGGAGUUCUUGAGGAAAGCGGCUUCGGCCAAAUGACUUUUGAAUUUAGUGGCGGACGGGUGAGUAACGCGUGAGCAACCUGCCUUUCAGAGGGGGAUAACAUUUGGAAACAGAUGCUAAUACCGCAUAAGAUUACAGUACCGCAUGAUACAGUGAUCAAAGGAGCAAUCCGCUGAAAGAUGGGCUCGCGUCCGAUUAGAUAGUUGGUGGGGUAACGGCCUACCAAGUCGACGAUCAGUAGCCGGACUGAGAGGUUGAACGGCCACAUUGGGACUGAGAGACGGCCCAGACUCCUACGGGAGGCAGCAGUGGGGAAUAUUGCACAAUGGGGGGAACCCUGAUGCAGCGACGCCGCGUGAAGGAAGAAGGUAUUCGUAUUGUAAACUUCUGUCGCAGAUGACGAAAAGAUGACGGUAAUCUGCAAGAAAGCACCGGCUAACUACGUG
rnacentral:rRNA from 1 species